rnacentral:rRNA from 1 species
CAGCAGCCACGGGAAUACGUAGGGUGCGAGCGUUAAUCGGAAUUACUGGGCGUAAAGCGUGCGCAGGCGGUUAUAUAAGACAGAUGUGAAAUCCCCGGGCUCAACCUGGGACCUGCAUUUGUGACUGUAUAGCUAGAGUACGGUAGAGGGGGAUGGAAUUCCGCGUGUAGCAGUGAAAUGCGUAGAUAUGCGGAGGAGCACCGAUGGCGAAGGCAAUCCCCUGGACCUGUACUGACGCUCAUGCACGAAAGCGUGGGGAGCAAACAGGAUUAGAUACCCCAGUAGUCCCUGUCUCUUAUAC